AUUGAACGCUGGCGGCAUGCUUUACACAUGCAAGUCGAACGGCAGCGCGGGCUUCGGCCUGGCGGCGAGUGGCGAACGGGUGAGUAAUACAUCGGAACGUGCCCAGUAGUGGGGGAUAGCUCGGCGAAAGCCGGAUUAAUACCGCAUACGACCUGAGGGUGAAAGCGGGGGAUCUUCGGACCUCGCGCUAUUGGAGCAGCCGAUGGCAGAUUAGCUAGUUGGUGGGGUAAAGGCCUACCAAGGCGACGAUCUGUAGCUGGUCUGAGAGGACGACCAGCCACACUGGGACUGAGACACGGCCCAGACUCCUACGGGAGGCAGCAGUGGGGAAUUUUGGACAAUGGGCGAAAGCCUGAUCCAGCAAUGCCGCGUGUGUGAUGAAGGCCUUCGGGUUGUAAAGCACUUUUGGCGGGAACGAAAAGGACUGUGCCAAUACCACGGUUCGAUGACGGUACCCGCAGAAUAAGCACCGGCUAACUACGUG
rnacentral:rRNA from 1 species